rnacentral:rRNA from 1 species
UGGGGAAUAUUGGGCAAUGGGCGCAAGCCUGACCCAGCAACGCCGCGUGAAGGAAGAAGGCCCUCGGGUUGUAAACUUCUUUUAACAGGGACGAAGUAAGUGACGGUACCUGUUGAAUAAGCCACGGCUAACUACGUGCCAGCAGCCGCGGUAAUACGUAGGUGGCAAGCGUUAUCCGGAUUUACUGGGUGUAAAGGGCGUGUAGGCGGGACUGCAAGUCAGAUGUGAAAACCAUGGGCUCAACCCAUGGCCUGCAUUUGAAACUGUAGUUCUUGAGUGUUGGAGAGGCAGGCGGAAUUCCGUGUGUAGCGGUGAAAUGCGUAGAUAUACGGAGGAACACCAGUGGCGAAGGCGGCCUGCUGGACAAUAACUGACGCUGAGGCGCGAAAGCGUGGGGAGCAAACAGGAUUAGAUACC